rnacentral:rRNA from 1 species
AACGAACGCUGGCGGCAGGCUUAACACAUGCAAGUCGAACGAGAUCUUCGGAUCUAGUGGCAGACGGGUGAGGAACACGUGGGAACAUCCCUUUCAGUUCGGAAUAACGUUGGGAAACUAACGCUAAUACCGGAUACGUCCUUCGGGAGAAAGAUUUAUCGCUGAAAGAUUGGCCCGCGUCUGAUUAGCUAGUUGGUGAGGUAACGGCUCACCAAGGCUACGAUCAGUAGCUGAUCUGAGAGGAUGAUCAGCCACAUUGGGACUGAGAAACGGCCCAAACUCCUACGGGAGGCAGCAGUGGGGAAUAUUGGACAAUGGGCGCAAGCCUGAUCCAGCCAUGCCGCGUGAGUGAUGACGGCCUUCGGGUUGUAAAGCUCUUUUGUCCGGGAAGAUAAUGACUGUACCGGAGGAAUAAGCCCCGGCAAACUUCGUGCCAGCAGCCGCCGUAA